GAACGCACCUUGCGCCCCUUGGUCAUUCCGGGAGGCAUGCCUGUUCGCGCGUCAUUAAAUACCACUCAAGCUCUUCUGCUUGGUCAUGGAAGAAGAGUAUGCUUGCAUCCUCUCUUCUGAAAUUGAAUGGCGGACCGCCUCAUGUGCCUCGCGUAGUAAGUUCAUCUUUUCGCUGGCAGCGUGAGACAGUCUCGCCAUCAACCCCCAUACUUCUAAGGUUGACCUCGGAUCAGGUAGGGAUACCCGCUGAACUUAAG
rnacentral:misc_RNA from 1 species